rnacentral:rRNA from 2 species
UUUAAAAUGAGAGUUUGAUCCUGGCUCAGGACGAACGCUGGCGGCGUGCCUAAUACAUGCAA